AGCUUGUGAGAGCUGCUGCUGCUGGGGACGUUCCUUGACUCUGUCUGCCUGCCGUUUGCCCACCACACUGCCCUCUGGCUGCAUUUUAUUCUUCUGUUCUGCAUUAACAAAGUUGUGAUCAGGAUACAUGAAGUAAGAGUGGUAUGAUGAAAAGACCUACUGAAAUAACUUUCACUGGAGAAAGAUCUUCCAUUGAUCCAUAUCUGGCUAUCAACCAUCACCAAAGUAUUCAGGAGCCAAUCCCCAAGAUUGGGUCACAUGAAGAAAUGGAACCCAGCUGAAGGAGUGGGCGGUGAAGCUGGCUUUGGUUUAGCCUGCACUCCAGUGGAACAUCCCUUUGCUGUCUCUCAGUGAAUGACUCCCAUUAACUCCCAUUGGGAAAAGAAUGUCUGUCUUUGUUGGGGUCAAGACUGCAGCUGGUGUAAAACCUGACAACUGCCUUGAAAAUAAUCCAGAUAUUAAAAGAUCUAGAGUUGAUUUCUCCUAAAGCAAAAUGUGAAAUGAAUUUGGUGUCUCCAUCUGAAAACCUUUAGCGAAAGCUGAAAGUAUUUGCAUAAGAAGAGCAAAGUUCUCAAGGAGGGUUUUCUGGUUCUUUAAAUUGACACUGCAUUUCAUCUACAGUGUAAUCUGAAGUAAAUUAGGAGCUUUCUCCUCAAUGAAAUAUUCAUGGAAUUUUGAAGGAAAUAAAAAAAGUUCAAAAAUA